rnacentral:rRNA from 1 species
UAAAAUAUUAUUACUUUAUUUUUAAGUUAAAAUUCUUUUUAAUAAAAAAAUUUUUAUUUUGAUUGUUUUUGUAAUUUUUUGAUUAAAUAAUUUUAGUUAUAGUAAAUUAGUACAUUGAUGGAAUUAUGAAAUAUAAUUAAUUAUAUAAAAAGUAGAUUUUUUUUAUUGUACCUUUUGUAUCAGGGUUGAUUAAAAAUGGAUUAUUAAUAAAUAUUUUUCUCGAAUUAAAAAGAGCUAAAUUAAUAUGAAAGUUUUUGUGGCAAAAUGAUUUUUUAUUUUAAUUUGGUAAUGAGACGUUAGUCGUUUUUUAAUAUAUCUAGUUUCUCAAGAAUUAAAUUUAAUUUAUUUAUUUUUUUACCAUUAUUUUAUUUGUUUAAUUUAAUGAAUUAAAAUAGAAAAAAUUAUAGGGAUAAGCUUGUAAUUUUUUUUUAUAAGGUAAUUUUUUUUAGUAAAUUAGUAGGAUUAGAAAUUUCCAUCUUUAAUUAAAGUGUUAUAAUUAAUUUAUUAAAAUAUAAGAUUUUCUUUUCUUUAAAGUUAUAUUGAGACAUAAAUUUUAAUUAUUUAUUUUAGGGAUAAUGAUUAAAUUAGUAUUAUUUUAUUUAUAAAUAAAAUUUAAAUAGAGAUGAAAGUAAGGAAUUCAGCAAAAUUGUAUUCGCCUGUUUAUCAAAAACAUGUCUUUUUGAUUAUAAUAUAAAGUCUAACCUGCCCACUGAAUAUUUGAAGGGCCGCAGUAUCCUGACUGUGCAAAGGUAGCAUAAUCAUUUGCCUUUUAAUUAGAGGCUAGUAUGAAUGGUUGAACGAAAUACAAACUGUCUCACUUUUAAAAUUUUAAAAAUUUAGCUUUCUAGUCAAAAGGCUUGAAUGUUAUUAAAGGACGAGAAGACCCUAUAGAACUUUAUAUUUUUUAAUUAAACUUUUUUUUAGUAAAAAAUUUAUUGUUUAUUUAUCAUAUAUUUUGUUGGGGUGACAGGGAAAUAAAUUUAACUUUCUUAAUUUAGAACAUUGAUUUAUGAGUUUUUGAUCCAUUAUUAAUGAUUAUUAGAAUAAGUUACCUUAGGGAUAACAGCGUAAUUUUAUUGGAGAGUUCAUAUCUAUAAUAAAGUUUGCGACCUCGAUGUUGAAUUAAAGAAAUUUUAAAGUGCAGAAGCUUUAAGUAAUAGGUCUGUUCGACCUUUAAAUCUUUACAUGAUUUGAGUUCAGACCGGCGUGAGCCAGGUCGGUUUCUAUCCUUAAUAAAAGACCAUUAUUUAGUACGAAAGGACCAAUUAUGGGAAAAAUUUUUUUAAAAGUUGAAUAAAAUU